rnacentral:lncRNA from 1 species
GAGACCAUCAGAGCUGCCAUCCUCACCACACUAUCUACCACAGCAUUCCCUAAAGAGCCCAGUUUCCUACUUCCCACGAUCCCUGUGCUUGUGAGAAGGAGAGUCAGAAAGUGCAAGGGCUCCUCCAUCAGCUGCUCCAGCAUCUCACCUCACCUGUCUGGUUCUGAGUCCCAAAGGCUACUAGUGAGACAGAGUUGGGUACUGAGACGGACAAGACUCAAACUGCAAGUGACUGGAGAAGCCACGAUUCUGUUGCCUUCCAGAACCCAGACACCCAGCCCCAACUCAGUACUUCUCGAAUAUCGGAGUUUGAGAAAUUCUGCUUUCAGUUGGUCCAAGUGUUCUUCAUGGCCUCUGAGUGCCCCAGGAUCAAGGAGGACCAGAAAAAGUCCUGGCUCCCAAGAGGGUGUGGGAAUCAAGAUAAGAUUUAGGUGACUCCAUUAUGAGGUGACUGGUAGAGAAAGGAGCCACUCUAUCCUUCCCCUAGUUGCUCGUGAAAGAAAAAAGAAAAAACUCAGAGCUACACAUCCAUCCCUCAACAAAGGAAACAAACUCUCCUGCAAAAUACAGGGGACUGAUUUGGGCACUGGGGCCCUGUCCACCUCAGUGCUGCAAGAAACAAGAGGAGGGGAAAACCCUGAGCAUUAAACAACAAAUAUUUCGUGACGAGUACAUUCUCCUCAGCUACCAAGUCCAAAGCUACUUGAUAUA